rnacentral:rRNA from 1 species
CCUACGGGUGGCAGCAGUGGGGAAUAUUGGGCAAUGGAGGCAACUCUUACCCAGCAAUGCCGCGUGAAUGAAGAAGGUCUUCGGAUUGUAAAGUUCUUUAAUUGGGGACGAAAAAAAUGACGGUACCCAAGGAAUAAGCCCCGGCUAACUACGUGCCAGCAGCCGCGGUAAUACGUAGGGGGCAAGCGUUGUUCGGAAUGACUGGGCGUAAAGGGUGUGUAGGCGGUGUAGCAAGUGAGAAGGGAAAUACCUAGGGCUUAACUCAGGUGCUGCUUCUAAAACUGCUAUACUUGAGUGCAGGAGAGGAAAGUGGAAUUCGUAGUGUAGCGGUGGAAUGCGUAGAUAUUAGGAAGAACAUCGGUGGCGAAGGCGACUUUCUGGACUGCAACUGACGCUGAGGCACGAAAGUGUGGGGAGCGAACAGGAUUAGAUACCCUUGUAGUC